rnacentral:rRNA from 1 species
UGGGGAAUAUUGGACAAUGGGCGAAAGCCUGAUCCAGCAAUGCCGCGUGAGUGAUGAAGGCCUUAGGGUUGUAAAGCUCUUUUACCCGGGAAGAUAAUGACUGUACCGGGAGAAUAAGCCCCGGCUAACUCCGUGCCAGCAGCCGCGGUAAUACGGAGGGGGCUAGCGUUGUUCGGAAUUACUGGGCGUAAAGCGCACGUAGGCGGCUUUGUAAGUUAGAGGUGAAAGCCUGAUGCUCAACAUCAGAAUUGCCUUUAAGACUGCAUCGCUUGAACGUCGGAGAGGUGAGUGGAAUUCCGAGUGUAGAGGUGAAAUUCGUAGAUAUUCGGAAGAACACCAGUGGCGAAGGCGGCUCACUGGACGACUGUUGACGCUGAGGUGCGAAAGCGUGGGGAGCAAACA